rnacentral:hammerhead_ribozyme from 1 species
AGGCGAAACCGCCCGGAAGGGCGGUCGGUCGGAGUGGAUCUCCGAUCCUGAUGAGCCAACCAAGU